rnacentral:rRNA from 1 species
AAUAUUGCACAAUGGGGGCAACCCUGAUCCAGCCACGCCGCGUGUGUGAAGAAGGUCUUCGGACUGUAAAGCACUUUAAGUUGUGAGGAAGGGCCUUAGGUUAAUUCCCUGAAGUCUUGACGUUACCAUCAGAAUAAGCACCGGCUAACUCUGUGCCCGCAGCCGCGGUAAUACAGAGGGUGCAAGCGUUAAUCGGAAUUACUGGGCGUAAAGCGCGCGUAGGUGGUUCAGUAAGAUGGGUGUGAAAUCCCCGGGCUUAACCUGGGAACUGCUUUCAUAACUGCUGAGCUAGAGUACGGUAGAGGGUAGUGGAAUUUCCUGUGUAGCGGUGAAAUGCGUAGAUAUAGGAAGGAACACCAGUGGCGAAGGCGACUACCUGGACUGAUACUGACACUGAGGUGCGAAAGCGUGGGGAGCAAAC